rnacentral:lncRNA from 1 species
GCUUGAUUCCUGACGCGCGCGUGGCGCCGGCCGCGUCCUCGUGUAAUUUUCUUUUUGCCUUUUUCUUUUGUUUCUUCGUGUAUGAUCAUUUCGAUCGAUCGCUUUAUAGCUUAUUAAUUAGCUUGCGAUCUAUGCGACGUCAGGGCUCGAUCGAAUGCUCGAGCCGAUUAGUCCUAGACACUCCUAUCUAGCUGACACUUCCAUGAUCUCUUCUUGUCGUGUUAAUAAUGUUUACUAAGGCGUUAAUUAGUUAAUAAGGGCGUGGUUUUGAUUCAAAAGGUGAACUAAAUGGAAAAGAACGAGGGGAAAAAACAGCUACCCGAUUGUCAUGUGCGAGGCCAAGCUUUCAGACCACUUAUUCCAUUUUUGAAAAAUAUUCCUCAUUUUCUCAAGUGAUAUGAUUUGGCUAGAACUUUUUUUGGCUCGAUAAAAUGUUCCAUGAUAAUCAUGAUGAUCUCAAAUAAUCGUAGGUCUACAUACUAAAGAUUUCAUUUUUCUAUCUAGGCAAAGAAAAUUUGAACCAUUAGGACGGUUGUUUUUUCUACCUAAGCAAAUCACCGCCACCAUUAAUAAAAUUUACUCUUUUGCUUAUUAAUCACUCUUUUGCUCGUGGGGUUCAAAUUCUUAGAUACGGUUCUGACCACACAACUAUGGAGUACUCAAAUAAUGACCAAAGCAUGGAUUUUGGAUAGACUAGCUUUUUACCUGAAUUGUACAUAGUAAUUAGUAAGCGCAGUUCAAUUCAGAAGAAAAUAGAAAAACAAUCCCGUAUUCUCUGCAGAAGGCUUAGGUACAAUACAUGAUAUAUCAAUAUAUAAUACAUGCAUG